CCCGGGCCUUGUACACACCGCCCGUCACACCAUGGGAGUUGGUUUUACCCGAAGACGGUGCGCUAACCGCAAGGAAGCAGCCGGCCACGGUAGGGUCAGCGACUGGGGUG
rnacentral:rRNA from 1 species